rnacentral:pre_miRNA from 1 species
AGUGCCGAAGAGGCAAGAUGUUGGCAUAGCUGUGUCCAACGACAUAUUUUCAGCUGUGCCUACAUACUGCCAUUUUGUCACUUG